UGUCCAUCCAUGGCAACUUGGCAAGGUUAGCGGCGCACACAGGAGGGAGACGAUUGGUUCGUGCUUAGCGCCCGUGUACUGCAAAUUCAUCCUUAACAGGUAAUUACUGCUACGGAGAAUGGUUUUGACGAGGAUGAUCCUACCCAAUCUAUGAAGCUUUGUGUGAUCUCUUUAUGUUCUCGGCCCAUUGGGCUAGAUGCGUGCGCACAUGCACGGAUGGCAUUGGAAUUGGAAGUGUACACGGUGGUAAUAAAAGAGGUGUAUGAUUGUUUGAGCUAAUAGCAGAGAGCUCAGCAUGGACUAGACACUUCUAAGGAUAAUAUGUGGCCGGGUGAAGCCGGUGUAUAACAUGUCGUAUCCUAUGCCUAAAGAACGUGAACAUACAAAUACAAGUUGUACAUGUAUAACAAAUGGAAUUAUGUGGCAUAUAAAGAUACAAACAAUUCAUAACUCAAUCUGUCAUGCCCUAUAUUAUAGUGGCAAACUGUACUCUUUUCUUUUUGUUGGCCUGAAAUUGCUGUUGGACAUGUGCUUUAUCAUCUUCUGAUGGUUGGGCGCGCAAAGCGCGCAAGAGUUUCUAGUACUCUAACACGUCCAGUUUCUUACUGAACCAAUGGAAAUUUAAGCAAUCAAUGACAUGAUGCCAUUACUCCUAUGCAGUGAUAUUAUUUGUAACAAAUGACACCAAUUUUGGUCA